rnacentral:rRNA from 1 species
AGAGUUUGAUCCUGGCUCAGGAUGAACGCUGGCGGCGUGCCUAACACAUGCAAGUCGAGCGAUCUUCUUCGGAAGAGAGCGGCGGACGGGUGAGUAACGCGUGGGUAACCUGCCUCAUACACAUGGAUAACAUACCGAAAGGUAUGCUAAUACAAGAUGAUAUAAGAGAUUCGCAUGGAUUUCUUAUCAAAGCUCCGGCGGUAUGAGAUGGACCCGCGUCUGAUUAGCUAGUUGGCAAGGUAACGGCUUACCAAGGCGACGAUCAGUAGCCGACCUGAGAGGGUGAUCGGCCACAUUGGAACUGAGACACGGUCCAAACUCCUACGGGAGGCAGCAGUGGGGAAUAUUGCACAAUGGGCGAAAGCCUGAUGCAGCAACGCCGCGUGAGCGAUGAAGGCCUUCGGGUCGUAAAGCUCUGUCCUCAAGGAAGAUAAUGACGGUACUUGAGGAGGAAGCCCCGGCUAACUACGUGCCAGCAGCCGCGGUAAUACGUAGGGGGCUAGCGUUAUCCGGAUUUACUGGGCGUAAAGGGUGCGUAGGUGGUUUCUUAAGUCAGGAGUGAAAGGCUACAGCUCAACCGUAGUAAGCUUUUGAAACUGGGAAACUUGAGUGCAGGAGAGGAAAGUGGAAUUCCUAGUGUAGCGGUGAAAUGCGUAGAUAUUAGGAGGAACACCAGUAGCGAAGGCGGCUUUCUGGACUGUAACUGACACUGAGGCACGAAAGCGUGGGGAGCAAACAGGAUUAGAUACCCUGCUAGUCCACGCCGUAAACGAUGAGUACUAGUGUCGGGGGUUACCCCCCCUCGGUGCCGCAGCUAACGCAUUAAGUACUCCGCCUGGGGAGUACGCUCGCAAGAGUGAAACUCAAAGGAAUUGACGG